CCUACGGGAGGCUGCAGUAGGGAAUUUUGCGCAAUGGGCGAAAGCCUGACGCAGCAACACCGCGUGCAUGUUGAACCCUUCCGGGUGUAAAGUUCUUUCAAUAGGGACGAAUUUUGACUGUACCUAUAAAGGAAGCACCGGCUAACUCCGUGCCAGCAGCCGCGGUAAUACGGAGGGUGCAAGCGUUGUCCGGAAUCAUUGGGCGUAAAGCGUUCGUAGGCGGGAAGGUAAGUCUGAUGUUAAAGCCCGGGGCUCAACUCCGGUUCGGCAAUGGAUACUAACUAGCUAGAAUGUGGUAGAGGUAAAGGGAAUUCCUGGUGUAGCGGUGAAAUGCGUAGAUAUUAGGAGGAACAGCGGUGGCGAAAGCGCUUUACUGGACCAUUACUGACGUUGAGGAACGAAAGUGAGGGGAGCAAAUGGGAUUAGAUACCCCUGUAGUC
rnacentral:rRNA from 1 species